rnacentral:misc_RNA from 1 species
GAAAUGCGAUAUGUAAUGUGAAUUGCAGAAUUCCGUGAAUCAUCUAAUCUUUGAACGCACAUUGCACUCUCUUUCGGGAGAGUAUGCCUGUUUGAGAAUCUAUAGUAUUCUUUUUUCAAAGUAUAAGUAAAAUUAUGCUUUGAAAAGAUUUGAGGUUUCCUUAAUCUUUAGUAUUAUGGUACCUUUAAAUAGAUUGCUUUUGACUUGUUAAUUGAUGUUUGAAGUCUUUAACAUUCGUUAUGAACAGUAUUCGAAUAGACCUUUUGGUUUUAACUUGUGCUUAGUAAUAUGAUAAAAGACUUAGUCGAUUAUAGAUAGUAAAAAGUUCAUAACCAUUAUAAAAACUAAAGUUUACUUUGUUUUUGAACCAUGGUCUCAAAUCAGGUAGGAAGACCCGCUG